rnacentral:rRNA from 1 species
CGGGGGGGGCCCUAUACAUGCAAGUCGAACGAGUUCUCGUUGAUGAUCGGUGCUUGCACCGAGAUUCAACAUGGAACGAGUGGCGGACGGGUGAGUAACACGUGGGUAACCUGCCCUUAAGUGGGGGAUAACAUUUGGAAACAGAUGCUAAUACCGCAUAGAUCCAAGAACCGCAUGGUUCUUGGCUGAAAGAUGGCGUAAGCUAUCGCUUUUGGAUGGACCCGCGGCGUAUUAGCUAGUUGGUGAGGUAAUGGCUCACCAAGGCGAUGAUACGUAGCCGAACUGAGAGGUUGAUCGGCCACAUUGGGACUGAGACACGGCCCAAACUCCUACGGGAGGCAGCAGUAGGGAAUCUUCCACAAUGGACGCAAGUCUGAUGGAGCAACGCCGCGUGAGUGAAGAAGGCUUUCGGGUCGUAAAACUCUGUUGUUGGAGAAGAAUGGUCGGCAGAGUAACUGUUGUCGGCGUGACGGUAUCCAACCAGAAAGCCACGGCUAACUACGUGCCAGCAGCCGCGGUAAUACGUAGGUGGCAAGCGUUAUCCGGAUUUAUUGGGCGUAAAGCGAGCGCAGGCGGUUUUUUAAGUCUGAUGUGAAAGCCCUCGGCUUAACCGAGGAAGCGCAUCGGAAACUGGGAAACUUGAGUGCAGAAGAGGACAGUGGAACUCCAUGUGUAGCGGUGAAAUGCGUAGAUAUAUGGAAGAACACCAGUGGCGAAGGCGGCUGUCUGGUCUGUAACUGACGCUGAGGCUCGAAAGCAUGGGUAGCGAACAGGAUUAGAUACCCUGGUAGUCCAUGCCGUAAACGAUGAAUGCUAGGUGUUGGAGGGUUUCCGCCCUUCAGUGCCGCAGCUAACGCAUUAAGCAUUCCGCCUGGGGAGUACGACCGCAAGGUUGAAACUCAAAGGAAUUGACGGGGGCCCGCACAAGCGGUGGAGCAUGUGGUUUAAUUCGAAGCAACGCGAAGAACCUUACCAGGUCUUGACAUCUUUUGAUCACCUGAGAGAUCAGGUUUCCCCUUCGGGGGCAAAAUGACAGGUGGUGCAUGGUUGUCGUCAGCUCGUGUCGUGAGAUGUUGGGUUAAGUCCCGCAACGAGCGCAACCCUUAUGACUAGUUGCCAGCAUUUAGUUGGGCACUCUAGUAAGACUGCCGGUGACAAACCGGAGGAAGGUGGGGAUGACGUCAAAUCAUCAUGCCCCUUAUGACCUGGGCUACACACGUGCUACAAUGGAUGGUACAACGAGUUGCGAGACCGCGAGGUCAAGCUAAUCUCUUAAAGCCAUUCUCAGUUCGGACUGUAGGCUGCAACUCGCCUACACGAAGUCGGAAUCGCUAGUAAUCGCGGAUCAGCACGCCGCGGUGAAUACGUUCCCGGGCCUUGUACACACCGCCCGUCACACCAUGAGAGUUUGUAACACCCGAAGCCGGUGGCGUAACCCUUUUAGGGAGCGAGCCGUCUAAGGGGAUCCA